rnacentral:rRNA from 1 species
CCUACGGGAGGCAGCAGUGAGGAAUAUUGGUCAAUGGACGAGAGUCUGAACCAGCCAAGUAGCGUGAAGGAUGACGGCCCUAUGGGUUGUAAACUUCUUUUAUAUGGGAAUAAAAUGUUCCACGUGUGGGAUUUUGUAUGUACCCUAUGAAUAAGGAUCGGCUAACUCCGUGCCAGCAGCCGCGGUAAUACGGAGGAUCCGAGCGUUAUCCGGAUUUAUUGGGUUUAAGGGGAGCGUAGGUGGUUUGUUAAGUCAGUUGUGAAAUCUUGCGGCUCAACCGUAAAAUUGCAGUUGAAACUGGCAGUCUUGAGUACAGUAGAGGUGGGCGGAAUUCGUGGUGUAGCGGUGAAAUGCUUAGAUAUUACGAAGAACGCCGAUUGCGAAGGCAGCUUACUGGACUGCAACUGACACUGAGGCUCGAAAGUGUGGGUAUCAAACAGGAUUAGAUACCCGAGUAGUC